GCUGGGGUCGCCUAGUCCGGUAGGGCGCUGGAUUGCUAAUCCAGUGGCCGAAAGGCCGCGGGAGUUCAAAUCUCCCCCCUAGCG
rnacentral:tRNA from 1 species